rnacentral:rRNA from 1 species
GACGAACGCUGGCGGCGUGCCUAAUACAUGCAAGUCGACCUUAGUGGCUGACGGGUGAGUAAGGCAUCGGAAGGUGACUGGUAGUGGGGGAUAACGUCCGGAAACGAGCGCUAAUAACGCAUACUCUCAGAUGAGCACAGGUCGGAUUAGCUAGUUGGUGGGGUAAAGGCCUACCAAGGCGACGAUCCGUAACUGGUCUGAGAGUAUGAUCAGUCACACUGGAACUGAGACACGGUCCAGACUCCUACGGGAGGCAGCAGUGGGGAAUAUUGGACAAUGGGCGAAAGCCUGAUCCAGCCAUGCUGCGUGUGUGAAGAAGGUCUUCGGAUUGUAAAGCACUUUAAGUUGUGAGGCGUUACCAACAGAAUAAGCACCGGCUAACUUCGUGCCAGCAGCCGCGGUAAUAC